CUUGUAUGAUGACCACCUACUACUUGAUGUUCAGUGGAAGCAAAAUAACUGAUUUAAUGAGUCUGAAAA